rnacentral:rRNA from 1 species
AACGAACGCUGGCGGCAGGCUUAACACAUGCAAGUCGAGCGCCCCGCAAGGGGAGCGGCAGACGGGUGAGUAACGCGUGGGAACGUACCUUUUGGUUCGGAACAACUCCGGGAAACUGGAGCUAAUACCGGAUAAGCCCUAACGGGGAAAGAUUUAUCGCCGAAAGAUCGGCCCGCGUCUGAUUAGCGAGUUGGUGAGGUAACGGCUCACCAAGGCGACGAUCAGUAGCUGGUCUGAGAGGAUGAGCAGCCACACUGGGACUGAGACACGGCCCAGACUCCUACGGGAGGCAGCAGUGGGGAAUAUUGGACAAUGGGCGCAAGCCUGAUCCAGCCAUGCCGCGUGAGUGAUGAAGGCCUUAGGGUUGUAAAGCUCUUUUGUCCGGGAAGAUAAUGACUGUACCGGAAGAAUAAGCCCCGGCUAACUUCGUG